rnacentral:rRNA from 1 species
AUUGAACGCUGGCGGCAGGCUUAACACAUGCAAGUCGAGCGGAGCGAGGGUGCUUGCACCUUAGCUUAGCGGCGGACGGGUGAGUAAUGCUUAGGAAUCUGCCUAUUAGUGGGGGACAACAUUCCGAAAGGAAUGCUAAUACCGCAUACGCCCUACGGGGGAAAGCAGGGGAUCUUCGGACCUUGCGCUAAUAGAUGAGCCUAAGUCGGAUUAGCUAGUUGGUGGGGUAAAGGCCUACCAAGGCGACGAUCUGUAGCGGGUCUGAGAGGAUGAUCCGCCACACUGGGACUGAGACACGGCCCAGACUCCUACGGGAGGCAGCAGUGGGGAAUAUUGGACAAUGGGCGGAAGCCUGAUCCAGCCAUGCCGCGUGUGUGAAGAAGGCCUUUUGGUUGUAAAGCACUUUAAGCGAGGAGGAGGCUACUUAGAUUAAUACUCUGGGAUAGUGGACGUUACUCGCAGAAUAAGCACCGGCUAACUCUGUGCCAGCCGCCGCCGUAAUAC